GCAAAAGUGAAGACACCAGCCAGCAGAGACAUGAGUGGGAGGAGUGAAUGAGGCAAGCAUGGAUACAGACUGAACUGAGACCUGAGGUCUGAUGGUGACCAUGGAAAUCCCUAAAAGUUACAGAAACAUCCUAAAGUGAAUAAUAGACAUGAAUCUUUCUACCAACUUUGUUAGCAUCAAGUCUCCGUGGUGAAUGAAGAACAGAAAUAUUCUGCCAACAGCACUGUUUCAUCAUGAGAAUGUUGCACUCAAAACACUUUAAAUCAAGGCUACAACCCCACCUUUAAAGAGUUUUAUUUGAUUAAUGAUAAGUAGAACAUUGAUUAACAAAUUUGAAAAAGAUUAUUCUUGAUCAUUUUCAUGACGGCAUUUGACAAAAUGUAAGAUUUAUUACUUCUUUCACAAUUGAUUACUGCAUUAUGCUUUUAUUGUGUAAAUUACUUUGAACUGUCUUGUUGCUGAAAUGUGCUAUACGAUUAAACUUGACUUGACGACACAAUCAUGCACUGUUUUGU